CAGCCCACACCCAAUUAGCAUAUUUCUUUGCAGCUUGCCCACUAAAUGUUAGUUGAGACUGUUUGUACUUCUUGUAAGUAUCACGCAGAUUUUUCCAUUUUGCUUUUAGUGAUUUCACUGAAACAAAAUUAGGAGACACAUUAUUGCAGCCAAUAUACAUUCCAGUACCAACUCUACAGACAUGGGAGCAAAUAUCAGAAGGAUUUUAUACAAUAUGGGGCUUUCCAAACUGCCUUGGGAGUAUUGAUGGAAAACAUAUAACUAUCAAGUCUCCACCUAACAGUGGAUCGA